UCCGGCUUAUCACCGGCAGUCCCACUAGAGUGCCCAACUGAAUGAUGGCAACUAAAGGCAGGGGUUGCGCUCGUUGCAGGACUUAACCCAACAUCUCACGACACGAGCUGACGACAGCCAUGCAGCACCUCGACUAGUGUCCCUUGCGGGAAAAGGAACUUUCACCCGCUUUAACCAGCAUGUCAAGCCCAGGUAAGGUUCUUCGCGUUGCAUCGAAUUAAGCCACAUGCUCCACCGCUUGUGCAGGCCCCCGUCAAUUUCUUUGAGUUUUAACCUUGCGGCCGUACUCCCCAGGCGGAUGACUUAAUGCGUUAGCUGCGCCACCGAAAGCCCAUGGCCCCCGACAGCUAGUCAUCAUCGUUUACGGCGUGGACUAC
rnacentral:misc_RNA from 1 species